UACGUAGACCACAAGCGUUAUCCGGAUUUAUUGGGCGUAAAGCGCAUGUAGGAGGCUCGGUGCGUCUCUGGUUAAAGCCCACUGCCUAACGGUGGAAGUGCCGGAGAUACGAUCGAGCUGGAGGAGGUGAGAGGUGCAUGGAACUCACGGUGUAGGGGUGAAAUCCGUUGAUAUCGUGGGGAACACCAAAGGCGAAGGCAGUGCACUGGUACCUUCCUGACUCUGAGAUGCGAAAGCGUGGGGAGCAAAAAGG
rnacentral:rRNA from 1 species